CGUAGCGGUAGGACGGGAGUGGGACACUUUCGAGUGUGCUGGAGUUGAAACCAGUCCGUCAACCCGCUUCCGUUCUGCCACCAUA
rnacentral:antisense_RNA from 1 species